AUAAAUACAUUCGCUUGUAAAAUUGCACUGAAAAAAAUCAAUACUCUACACACCAGUCAAAGAGCCUUAAAAGUCAUUCCAUUUAUAAAUAUUUGUAUUCUAGUCAAAGCUCUUUGAUCUAAUUAGUCAAAAACAGUCAAAUCUCUGCAUAGUUCUGACCCUUUGCUGACUCUGUCACUCAGCUGCCUCCGGCGACGUCCAAGCCUACCAAAUCCGUGCCGCCCCUGCCAGCACCAUCGCCCCUGGGGUCGUUAUGGCCUCAUCCCCGGCACUCCCCACCCAGGGUGCCACAGAAGAGGUCACCAGGAAGCGGGAGGUCCGCCUCAUGAAAAACAGGUAGGAGCUGGCGAGCCUUUUAGAGGCAAUUCUACGAGGGUUCGGCUUAAAGGGACGUCCAGCCUGCGUGCUGCUGUGAAGCUGUGAAGAUGACCCGUCCUGUUCUCCCUGCAGAGAGGCGGCGCGAGAGUGUCGAAGGAAGAAGAAGGAGUACGUGAAAUGUUUGGAGAACAGAGUGGCGGUGCUGGAGAACCAAAACAAGACGCUAAUUGAAGAACUGAAAGCACUGAAAGACCUUUACUGUCAUAAAUCUGAGUAAACCUCCUCGAACUCUGAUCUGGAUUCAUUCACAUGGAAGGGUCACUAAUGAAAGUGCCAACUAAAUCUAAAUCAACAAGCGACUGUCCAGAAGGUCAUCAUGACGUUGGUACACAUCAGUCAUGUUAUCACUGCAGCAAAUCACUUCACCAGUGGCUGGUUUACAGCUGCCGUCUCCACCAUAAAUCCUCUCCAACACAAGAGCCAUCAGCCCAAAGGAGCUUUCCUUCUUCUUCACCUUUGUGUGUUUGGUUUGCAAUGGGCAUCGUCCUGUCCUGAAUCCCAGCUGAGAUUGGAGGGACAUAAGACACCAGCCUGGAUUUCUUCUUUAAAAAUUAAGCAGCAGGAGAUCUGUCAGAGCUGCCUCAAGCUCCUCCAAAGUUUGGGUUUGGAGGCUCAGGCAUGUCAGCAGGUCAGUUCAAUUGAAGUAUUCCUAUAAAAAUCAUUCUAAACUAAACAAAUGUAAAACAUUGUCUAGAAGUGAAGCCUGUAGCAAAAAGCAUCACGGAGGAUCUUGGUGCCUAAAAAAGCCACGAAACUUUCGCCAGAUCUCAGCAUCCGACUGUUUAUCAUUUGUUUCUGUCAAGGGAACAGAAGAAAAAAAACGUUCUGUUCAAUGACAGCUUUUUUUUUUAAAUCAUUUGCAUUUUAGUUCUUUAGGUAGCAAUAAUGUUCCAUCCAAGCAUCCCAGUGGUUGUGAUGGUUACCUGCACUUUAUUUUACUUUGUGGUCAAGUUUAGCAGUUUAACUAGAAAUCCACUUUCUCAGGUCUUAUGCCUGACUUUAUUUUAUUUUAUUUUUUGCCAAAUAAAUGUCGAUCAUUUAGACAACGACACCAUAAGAGCAAAAGCUUGUUACAAAAAAACAAACUUUUGAUAUUACAGUAAUUGAAUGAAUUUACGUAAUAAAAUGUUUUUUUUAAUGCUGAAGUGCAUUUAAUUUAAAAAUGUUAAGUCUUAGCAAAGAAUGUUUUUUUAGUAGGAAGCUGAAUUUAUUCUAUGUUUUUCUUUUCUUUUUUUUAAACAAAUACCUACAUACUUUUUUUUUGACAGCAACUGCAUUUUUAAAAGAUUAAUACACUGAUAAUAAUCCUAUGAUAUUCUAGCAUUAGAACCAAAUUGACGUUUUUCGAACUUCCAGUCCAGAUUUAUUCACUUUGAUCAACUUAUGGCUCAUUUAAACCUUUUGUUCUGUAGUGAAGUGAAGCAAUAUUGUAGUGACGCAAAGGAUUUCUCUAUGAAAAAGACAGAAAAGAUCUUUUCACAUUGACAUAUCAGUUCACGGUUAAUUUGUGACCUACUUUUGGAAGCAUUUGUGUCGAUGGUUGUGGAGAAUCGCAGCUUCGUUUGUGUGUGAAGCACCUUUUGUGUUACUCUGUUCUCACGUCUCCUACCAAGGGAACACUGCAGAAAGAAAUCCAGAAGAAAACCAAAGUCUGUCAUAAAAAAUGUCUCAUUGCACAUAUUAUACAGUAAGUAAAGCAUUCUCCCUGAUUUGAGAGCGUUACUAUCUUCUGUUUUGAGGGCUCGUGUUCUCCUCCUUUAACCAGAAAGUGACAUUAACAUCUGCUCCUAGACGUCUAACUUCUCUAGCAGAUAACAUCCUCUCAGAUCUGAACCAUUCUCCUCAUGUUUGGGCUUUAAAACGGACUGUUUUUAGCUUUUGUUUGCACAUCUGUGCUCAAGCCACUUCUCCUCUUGUAGACUUUUUGACAAGUUAUUGAAAACAAAGAUAAACGAGCAGCUGGUAUUUAGUACAAGCCAGAGUUUUAAAGAGCCACUCCGAUCAUAUUUGGUUCUAUUGUUAACGUCUUCACUCUUGAUUAGGCUCUUUUUAGCCACCAAAAAAACAACUGUCAUUUUGUAGGACAUAGUUUUUCUGCAGAGCGACAGUAGUUCAUCAGAAAUGUACUGAUGUAAUGUAAUGCAAAUGUAAUGCAACCCCCCCCCCCCCUGUUGCUAAGAGAGCUUGUGGAAUUGGCCAGAAUAUUUUCUACAUCCCAUAUUUGAUCUUUUUUAAACGGCAUUUUCUUCCUCUUCUUCUGAUUCACAACCAUUUGAAGAAGGAACUACUCAGAAAUGCAGUUUUAAGCUUCAUUAUACCUUUAUAUAUAUUUUAUAUAUAUUUAUAAAUAUAUAUAUAUAUGUCCUCCAUCAUGAGAAAAAUGCAACUUGAAUUUAAAAUCCAUCGGAGUGAGUCUUUAAGGUUAUGAAAACUCAGAGCAUGUUGUCUUUUUGAGAGCAUGACAGAAACACUACAAUACUUAGAUGAAAGCUCUCCAAACAAAAACUACACUCCUGAUUAAAACUGUGAUUAACCCCAGAAAUACUUUGGAAUAUUUGGGCUCAAUCUUUUAUUUUUAUUUUUUUGCAUUUUGACCACUUUUGUUUGUUUGUUUUGUUUGGAUCUUUGCAUAUAUUUGUACCCACUACUUUAUAUGAACUGAGGUUUUAAAGUGCAUCCUGUUAAAAACAAAAGGUUGCUUUUGCGUGUGAAGAAACGUACAUAUUAGUGUGUAUUUUCUAUGAUUGUACAUAGACGCUACAGCAUGAGUACGUCAUAUUUCAGUUUGAUAUGAAAGUGUUCCUAUAGAUUGUAUAAAACCAGCUUUACAUAUUUGUAAUAUAAGUGUAUAAUUGUGUAUAUGUAUACACCAGGACUGGCGUCGUCAUGGCAGCUAGUAAUGAGAAAGGUCUUUGUAGGAUUUGAGGCGCUGUUCUCUUUUAGGUCAGCAGGGUUUGUUUGUUUGUUUGUUUGUUUGUUUGUUUGUUUGUUUGUUUGUUUGUAAAGAUGUGAGACAGUAUUGGCAUCCAGAAAAUGUAUUUGUUUUUAUAGUUUUGUUAAGUGAUACUUAUGUCAAAAACAUGAAAUAUAUUUUGUUUUAUCAUUUUUCUAAACAAAUAUCUAAUUUUUGUCGUUUUUGUUUGAAACUGUCCUGUUAACUUUGCCUGCAGAGGUCAUGUGAUUUAGCCAUUUCAGAUCUUUCGCGUCUGACAUUAUGAGGGAAUUACUGUCAUUAUGCCUAGAAGAAAUGAUUCCAACUUACUUGUUUACAGAGUUUUCCCUUUUUUUUUUUUAAUGAAAUACCUAAAUGCUAAAAUUAAUCGUAUCAUUUUUGUUUUUUUAAGGCACUUUAGUUCAUUCUGUUCAUAUUAUGUCGGACUACGUUUCCCAUGACUGCUUGGAGAAAUGUUUACAAAAUAAAAGCAUGAGUGUCUCAUCCUUUGUUUCAUAGGACAGACUAAAAUCCAACAAAACUUUGUGCAUAUCUCACUUAAAGCACAUUUCAUAGAGGAUGAGUGAUUUGUAAAAAACAAAAACAAAAAAAUCAUUAAUAACCCUGUGAUCAACUCUUUAGGUACUGGUGCCGUUACGAUAUGCGAGUUACUGAAAUGAAGUGUUUUCUUGGAGAAUAAACAACCUUUUUACCCCGUGUGAGCCCCACGUUCAGUGCUCGUGCCGAGGAAGAUAUCGUAAUAACCCUUUUUGAUGUGAGUUUGUAUUUGUACGUUUGAUGUAAUGGCACAAGUUUUCCUAUAAUGCCAACUGUGUUCUUUUUCCUUUUUUUUACUUGUGUGACAGAUUCUAGAGCCUAAACUUCUGCAUGUAACCGAUUUGCUCCAUGUGUGUAGAAGUAUUCACAUACAUUCAUAAACACGCACGAGUUUGAAAAGAGAUACAAUUUUCUUUCCAACUUUUAAUGUGAUCUGUCUAUAUUUUGUCACUUUUAGAAGCUAUAUAAAUAAAUACCAGAUAUUGUAUAUUGACCUGUAGAAACGAGUUCGCCAAAUGAUGCAUUAUUCUUGUUUUUUGACAUUGUACUUUUCUGAAACUAUACCAGCCCAUUAUUUUUUAAGUUACUCUAAUAAUGCAUAAAGUUUUGUAAACAUUUGCUAUGUUACAAUAAACUGAUCUUGGAGAUUGUACUGUUUUAUUCUGGUCUGUUGUGACAUUGUUUGUGACAUUUAUUUUGGCUUUAAAUCUAUGAUUUGGUCACUACUUUGCUGCUAAAUAUAGAUCAAAUUGAAUACCAAAACUAUGGGGGUUAAAUCAAAUUUUUAAAUCAUCUGCACUUUUUUCUAUUUUUGGUAACACAUUAAGUUAUUUAGGUUCACAUACAUAGAGAAGUAAAAGGCACAAUAUGUAAAAUAUCCAUAUAGAAUAAAGAAGCUUUAUUUAUUACAGAUGUAAGGUCCAUUUGCCACAAUAAACAAAAUAAAAUAAAAAGAAAAAAAACAAGUAUAAAAACAAUGACACAAAAGUAAAAAAAAACAAUAAAAUAAAAUAACCAAGUAUCAUUAACUUAAAAAAAAAAGACUGUGGAAAAACUAUUGUAGACUAAAAAACUUUAAAGUUUAAAAAAGGCGACCACACUAAAACCUCCAAAUAGGGGACUGCUAUCUAAAAGUGCUGUACCGUACAUUGGUGAAAUAGUUUUUUUUGAAGCAAAGACGAUAAAUGAAACCAUAAAUAACAUGUCUUGGAAAGUCUUAAUUUUUGCACCAACAAACAAUCUGCUUCUGCUGUUUUAAUCAAAUCUUUAGAAUUCUCCAGGCUGGAGAAGCUGAUCAGGCGGGCUGGCUCUGUGGUUGGCACAAGGCUGGACCCUCUGGCUACUGUGGCAGAGAGAAGGACACUCAAAAAACUGACAGGUAUCCUGGACAAUACCACCCACUCUCUGCACACGACCAUCAGUAGCCAGAGAAGCACCUUCAGUAAGAGGCUGCUCCUCCCAAGGUGCAGGACUAAUAGACUGAGGAACUCCUUUGUCCCCCGUGCCAUCAAACUCUUCAACCUCCACUUAGGAGGGGGGAGGAAGACGGAAAAGGAAAGGGAAAGGGCCUGAAUGACUUUUUUUGUAUAUACUGUUUUGCAGAUAUUUAAAUUGUUUGUUACUGUUCUAAUCUUCCUAAUUUUUUCU
rnacentral:lncRNA from 1 species